UACAGAGGAUGCAAGCGUUAUCCGGAAUGAUUGGGCGUAAAGCGUCUGUAGGUGGCUUUUUAAGUCCGCCGUCAAAUCCCAGGGCUCAACUCUGGACAGGCGGUGGAAACUACCAAGCUGGAGUACGGUAGGGGCAGAGGGAAUUUCCGGUGGAGCGGUGAAAUGCGUAGAGAUCGGAAGGAACGCCCGUGGCGAAAGCGAGGUCCUGGACGCCUACUGACGCUGAGACGCGAAAGCCAGGGGAGCGAACAGG
rnacentral:rRNA from 1 species